GCUGAGAUUAAAAGUACAGUGUUUACAGAUUCAAUGACCGUGUCAGGCAGAAAGACUGAGAUUCAAGUUGGCAAUCAAGUUUGACCAUCAUAGAUGUUCUGGGCUACCAUUGUAUUCCCAAAUCCUUGAGUUAAGGUUUGGGGAUCAUUGUGGAGGCGGGGUUGGAAAGACUAAGAUCCAGGAGGGGUAGAUGGAACUGUCCUUCAGACACAGCAGAUCGCACAUACUCAUUUCGUACAGCAUGAAAAGGCCGGUCAAAUGCUCAGGCCACUUUCGAUCCCAGCAUGAAGACGCUCCCCAGCACAAAGGACCACCCCUAGGUGCUGGGAGAGGGAGAGUCAAUUUCCUCUAACAGUAUAUACCCUGGUAAGCCAACCAUACUCCAGUAGGAGACCGCACCUCUAAGAAUAUAUGGGCAGCACAAGUAAACUUUGUGGUUUUUGUUUUAAGGACACA
rnacentral:sRNA from 1 species